CAUGAAUCCGCAGCUGAGGCAGCAGGCCCCUGGCCAGAGUGGCUAUAGGGUCCCGGGUGGUGUCUGAGGGAACCCUGGGUGGUGGUGAGGCUGGGCUCCCAGUCACAGCAGCUCUCCCCUUCAAGAUGGCACAGCCUCUGUGGCAGAGUCAGCCCCCCCAGGAGAGACUGCAGUGGUAGCAGAGGCUGCCUGGCUAGAGGGCCUUGUCUGCCAGCCCCCAAAAGUCCUGUGGAAUCUAACUGUCCUUCACCACCCCACACGUCCACGCACUCCCCUUUCACUCCCUCACUCACACUCUCUCCCUCACUGCUGUCCUGCCAGCCACCUUCUUCCCUCUGGAUUCGUUUUUAGGACAUUACAUAUAACAUACUGUGACUGAAUGAAGGAGAGUUCCACUGUCCCUACCUACUAUCCAGUGAAACCACCCAAGGGAACGAGCUUAGCAGAAUCAGCAGGGAAGGAAGACCCUGUUGAGUUUGACUGUAGUCUGGCAAGUCAAAGAGAUGGGAGAGGUGUAUGAGUUGGAUCUCCUUGGGAGCCACAAUUCCCUCCCAUCAUGGAGUCGGGGGAAGGGACAGUGCCAGGUGGGGAGUUUGAGUGGGGCACUACACUGGUCAAAUGGUAAUGCAGGUGUUCUAAGUUGAGCACAGGGAGGACAGAAACCUCCCAUGAAACAGAAAGGCAAAAGCUCUCUUGAUCUUUAUUUUCUUUUUUAAUUCUUUAUUGUUUAAAUUAUUACAUAUGUCUCCUUUUCCCCCCAUUGAGAUCUCCCCUUGAUUUUGAUUUUCAAUAGGAAUACAGAUCUUAAAAGCACAGCCUCACGUUUUAAAAAGAAACAAACUAAGGAAAAAUAUGUACUGUGACCUUGACCUACAAUUCUGGUCUCUUCCUCUGUUCUUUAGAGGUGAUUCCUAUUAUGAAUUGAAAAGACACUUUCCAACAUAUAUAUUCUAAAAUAUAGGGAUAAAAUUUGUUAAUUUAUUUAAAAAUGUUUAGAUUAUAGAAGUUUUAGAAAGACCAAGUCUCUGUCUCCUUUCUCAGUAUUUUAAUGAUAGUGUCUAUAAUAAUAAAAGCGUAAUAUGCUAAUUAGA
rnacentral:ncRNA from 1 species